AUCUCUUUUGCCUAAUAAAUACAGAGGGCUGUGUAAAGCUCAGGGCCCUUGUUCACUAGAGACAAGGUGUCCCCUGACCCUUCUUCCAAACAUAUUCUUUUGUCUCUUGUCUUUAUUCCCGCAUUCAUCCCCCUUUGUUCAGUCCACCAGGGAUCCUGGCAGGCUGCAAGUGGUGCCUCGAACAGCAACAGAAUCUGGUGCUUUACAAGUGGCGUCCAAACACAGGGGCUUCGAGGAUGUGAAUGAAGAAUGUCUGCUAGAGCAGAGGAACUGAAAUUGACAAGGCGAAUGGGGACCCCGGGAUGAGUCUGCUGGCAGCGGAUAUAAGUCUGUAAAAUCGGAUGGACUGCCAAUCGGAGAAUGAAAGCUACCCAGCCUGGCCUUACAUUCUUUCACUUAAUACAUAAACAAGAAGGGGGAAAUGUUGGGAGCCAAAAAGGCCAAAGGGAUGGUGACCAACUCAGCAUUCCACUGGAGGCUACAUGAUCAAACAGCAAACUGUUUAUCAUGAAUACAGAAUGUGGGCAAACUCGCUUCUGUGCCUGCCCAGAAGGUUUGCUGAGGGCCAUCGCUCCCUGGCCCCGGCUCCUUGAGGUUAUCUACUGGGACAUCUAGAGCCUAUUGUUCGAGGAAUGCAGUCUUGCAAGCCUACUCUGGACCGAGCAGCUGACCUCUUCUUCCACACCCCUUCUCACUAUCUCUUUUGCCUAAUAAAUAUGGAGGGCUGUGUAAAGCUCAGGGCCCUUGUCCACUAGAGGCAAGGUGUCCCCUGACCCUUCUUCCAAACAUACUCUUUUGUCUCUUGUCUUUAUUCCCGCAUUCAUCCCCCUUUGUUCAGUCCACCAUGGAUCCUGGCAGACUACAAGUGGCGCCUCGAACAGCGACAGAAUUAGGUGCUCUACAGGAU
rnacentral:lncRNA from 1 species